UACGGGGGGGGCAAGCGUUGUUCGGAAUUACUGGGCGUAAAGGGCUCGUAGGCGGCCAACUAAGUCAGACGUGAAAUCCCUCGGCUUAACCGGGGAACUGCGUCUGAUACUGGAUGGCUUGAGUUUGGGAGAGGGAUGCGGAAUUCCAGGUGUAGCGGUGAAAUGCGUAGAUAUCUGGAGGAACACCGGUGGCGAAGGCGGCGACCUGGGUGGAUACUGACGCUGAGGUGCGAAAGCGUGGGGAGCAAACAGG
rnacentral:rRNA from 1 species